rnacentral:rRNA from 1 species
GACGAACGCUGGCGGCGUGCCUAACACAUGCAAGUCGAGCGGACCUUAGUCCAACACUAAGCGCUCAAGGGAUUGAGUGUUUAGUGUUGGACGAAAGGUUAGCGGCGGACGGGUGAGUAACGCGUGAGCAACCUACCUUCCAGUGGGGGAUAACGUCCCGAAAGGGACGCUAAUACCGCAUAACGUAUAGUUUUCGCAUGGGAGCUAUACCAAAGAUUUAUCGCUGGAAGAUGGGCUCGCGUCUGAUUAGCUAGUUGGUGAGGUAACGGCUCACCAAGGCGACGAUCAGUAGCCGAACUGAGAGGUUGGUCGGCCACAUUGGGACUGAGACACGGCCCAGACUCCUACGGGAGGCAGCAGUGGGGGAUAUUGCGCAAUGGGGGAAACCCUGACGCAGCAACGCCGCGUGAAGGAAGAAGGCCUCGGUCGUAACUUUGUCCUCAGGAAGAAGAACUGACGGUACCUGAGGAGGAAGCCACGGCUAACUACGUGCCAGCAGCCGCGGUAAAAU